rnacentral:rRNA from 1 species
CACGUAGGGCGCAAGCGUUGUCCGGAAUUAUUGGGCGUAAAGAGCUCGUAGGCGGUCUGUUGCGUCCGCUGUGAAAACUCGGGGCUUAACCCCGAGCCUGCAGUGGAUACGGGCAGACUAGAGGUAGGUAGGGGAGAAUGGAAUUCCCGGUAUAGCGGUGGAAUGCGUAGAUAUCGGGAGGAACACCAGUGGCGAAGGCGGUUGCCUGGGGCUUUGCUGACGCUGAUGCGCGAAAGCGUGGGGAGCGAUCCGG